rnacentral:tRNA from 1 species
GGUAGAGUAGCUCAAAUGGUAGAGCACCUGCUUAGCAAGCAUGAAGCCCUGAAUUCAAACUCCACUACUA